CCUACGGGUGGCAGCAGUGGGGAAUAUUGCACAAUGGGGGGAACCCUGAUGCAGCGACGCCGCGUGAGUGAAGAAGGACUUCGGGAUGUAAAGCUCUAUCAGCAGGGAAGAAAAGGACGGUACCUGACUAAGAAGCCCCGGCUAACUACGGGCCAGCAGCCGCGGGAAUACGUAGGGGGCAAGCGUUAUCCGGAUUUACUGGGGGUAAAGGGAGCGUAGACGGUUAUGCAAGUCUGAAGUGAAAGCCCAGGGCUCAACCAUGGGACUGCUUUGGAAACUGUAAAACUGGAGUGCAGGAGAGGUAAGCGGAAUUCCUGGUGUAGCGGUGAAAUGCGUAGAUAUUAGGAGGAACACCAGUGGCGAAGGCGGCUUACUGGACUGUAACUGACGUUGAGGCUCGAAGGCGUGGGGAGCAAACAGGAUUAGAUACCCGUGUAGUC
rnacentral:rRNA from 1 species